UAGCCCAAGAGAUCGGGAUAACACCUGGAAACAGAUGCUAAUACCGGAUAACAACAGAUGAUGCCUAUCAACUGUUUAAAAGAUGGUUCUGCUAUCACUCUUGGAUGGACCUGCGGUGCAUUAGCUAGUUGGUAGGGUAACGGCCUACCAAGGCGAUGAUGCAUAGCCGAGUUGAGAGACUGAUCGGCCACAUUGGGACUGAGACACGGCCCAAACUCCUACGGGAGGCAGCAGCG
rnacentral:rRNA from 1 species